CCUACGGGCGGCAGCAGUGGGGAAUAUUGCACAAUGGGCGCAAGCCUGAUGUAGCCAUGCCGCGUGUGUGAAGAAGGCCUUCGGGUUGUAAAGCACUUUCAGCGGGGAGGAAGGCGUUAAGGUUAAUAACCUUGUCGAUUGACGUUACCCGCAGAAGAAGCACCGGCUAACUCCGUGCCAGCAGCCGCGGUAAUACGGAGGGUGCAAGCGUUAAUCGGAAUUACUGGGCGUAAAGCGCACGCAGGCGGUCUGUCAAGUCGGAUGUGAAAUCCCCGGGCUCAACCUGGGAACUGCAUUCGAAACUGGCAGGCUAGAGUCUUGUAGAGGGGGGUAGAAUUCCAGGUGUAGCGGUGAAAUGCGUAGAGAUCUGGAGGAAUACCGGUGGCGAAGGCGGCCCCCUGGACAAAGACUGACGCUCAGGUGCGAAAGCGUGGGGAGCAAACAGGAUUAGAUACCCCUGUAGUC
rnacentral:rRNA from 1 species